ensembl:lncRNA
UUGAGCCGCUCCCAGCCACGGGCCGGACAAAACAUGCAGAAAUAAAAAAACAAGUUGGCCAGAAAAGUUAAAACUGCCAAAGGCCCGUUAAAUAGGAAAAAGGCUAAGUCGCCCAUUUCUGUAGGGGUUUCUGACAUUUUCACCGAACCAGAAAAAUAUACAAGCCGCAAAAUCUUCUGUUUUAACUUGUAGGUGCUCAAAUGCUGAAUGCCACACCAAAGCUGGGUAUUUCAGCUGUCUCUCCCAGGCUCACAAAAACAAAAACUGGUUCUCCACUACCGAGGUUAAAGACAAAAGGAGGAGCAAACAGAAAUGGAGAUCUGGUGGAGCAGCGGGAAAUGGACUGGAGUAAAGACCUGUGCAACUUUGACAAGGGCCAAAUUGUUAUGGCCAUAUGACUGGGUCAUAGCAUCUCUGAAACUGCGGGGUUUGUGGGGUUCUCCCGGUCAGCAGUGGUGAGUACCUCCCGACAGUGAUCUGAGGAGGAACAAACCACAAAUUGGUGACAGGGUGUUGGGCGCCCAAGGCUCAUCGAUGUGUGAAGUCA